AUUGAACGCUGGCGGCAGGCCUAACACAUGCAAGUCGAGCGGAUGAAGGGAGCUUGCUCCUGGAUUCAGCGGCGGACGGGUGAGUAAUGCCUAGGAAUCUGCCUGGUAGUGGGGGAUAACGUCCGGAAACGGGCGAUAAUACCGCAUACGUCCUGAGGGAGAAAGUGGGGGAUGGUCGGACUCGGCGGUAUGGGAUGAGCGUAGGGCGGAUCAGCUAGUUGGUGGGGUAGAGGCUUGCCAAGCCGAUGAUCGGUAACUGGCCUGAGAGGGGGAUCGGCCACAUUGGGACUGAGAUACGGCCCAGACUCCUACGGGAGGCAGCAGUGGGGAAUAUUGCACAAUGGGCGGAAGCCUGAUGCAGCAACGCCGCGUGUGGGAUGACGGCCUUCGGGUGGUAAACCGCUUUCGCCUGUGACGAAGCGUGAGUGACGGUAAUGGGUAAAGAAGCACCGGCUAACUACGUG
rnacentral:rRNA from 1 species